CCUACGGGAGGCAGCAGUGAGGAAUAUUGGUCAAUGGGCGAGAGCCUGAAGCAGCCAAGUCGCGUGAGGGAGUACUGCCCUAUGGGUUGUAAACCUCUUUUGUCGGGGAGCAAAAGCCGGACGUGUCCGGCUGUGAGAGUACCCGAAGAAAAAGCAUCGGCUAACUCCGUGCCAGCAGCCGCGGUAAUACGUAGGGGGCGAGCGUUAUCCGGAUUCACGGGGUGUAAAGGGAGCGUAGACGGCCAUGCAAGCCAGGGGUGAAAGCCCCGGGCCCAACCCCGGGACUGCCAUUGGUACUGGGCGGCUAGAGUGCGGGAGGGGCAGGCGGAAUUCCUGGUGUAGCGGUGAAAUGCGUAGAUAUCAGGAGGAACACCGGCGGCGAAGGCGGCCUGCUGGACUGCGACUGACGUUGAGGCUCGAAAGCGUGGGGAGCGAACAGGAUUAGAUACCCCAGUAGUC
rnacentral:rRNA from 1 species